AGAGUUUGAUCCUGGCUCAGGACGAACGCUGGCGGCGUGCUUAACACAUGCAAGUCAAGGGGGCCCGCAAGNNNAACCGGCGAACGGGUGCGUAACACGUGAGCAACCUACCGAAAUCUGGGGGAUAGCCGGCCCAACGGCCGGGUAAUACCGCAUACGCUCUUUCCACGGCAUUGUGGAUUGAGGAAACCUCCGGGGGAUUUCGAGGGGCUCGCGGCCUAUCAGCUAGUUGGCGAGGUCACGGCUCACCAAGGCGACGACGGGUAGCUGGUCUGAGAGGAUGGCCAGCCACAUUGGGACUGAGAAACGGCCCAGACUCCUACGGGAGGCAGCAGUGGGGAAUCUUGCGCAAUGGCCGAAAGGCUGACGCAGCGACGCCGCGUGUGGGAGGAAGCCUUUCGGGGUGUAAACCACUGUUGCCCGGGACGAACAGCUCCUUAGUGGAGCCUGACGGUACCGGGUGAGGAAGCACCGGCUAACUCCGUGCCAGCAGCCGCGGUAAUACGGGGGGUGCGAGCGUUGUCCGGAAUCACUGGGCGUAAAGGGCGCGUAGGUGGCUUGGUAAGCGCGUGGUGAAAGCCCGGGGCUCAACCCCGGGUCUGCCAUGCGAACUACUAUGGCUUGAGCACUGUAGAGGCAGGUAGAAUUCCGGGUGUAGCGGUGGAAUGCAGAGAUCCGGAAGAAUACCGGUGGCGAAGGCGGCUGCUGGGCAGUGGCUGACACUGAGGCGCGACAGCGUGGGGAGCAAACAGGAUUAGAUACCCUAGUAGUCC
rnacentral:rRNA from 1 species